rnacentral:tRNA from 1 species
UGGAGUGUAGCCAAAUGGUAAGGCAUUGAACUUUGACUUCAAGAACUGUAGGUUCGAGUCCUACCUCUUCAG